rnacentral:rRNA from 1 species
UGCCAGCCGCCGCGGUAAUACGGGGGGAGCAAGCGUUGUUCGGAUUUACUGGGCGUAAAGGGCGUUUAGGUGGUUUGGUAAGUUGGUGGUGAAAUCCCUUGGCUUAACUGAGGAACUGCCUCCAAAACUGCUAAACUCGAGUGUGGGAGAGGAAGAUAGAAUUCCUGGUGUAGCGGUGAAAUGCGUAGAUAUAUGGAGGAAUACCGGUGGCGAAGGCGACUUUCUAGUUUAUUCCUGACGCUGAGGUAUGAAAGCUAGGGGAGCAAACAGGAUUAGAUA